UACGUAGGGUGCGAGCGUUGUCCGGAAUUAUUGGGCGUAAAGAGCUCGUAGGCGGUGUGUCACGUCGAUCGUGAAAACUUACAGCUUAACUGUGAGCGUGCGGUCGAUACGGGGCAUCACUGGAGUUCGGCAGGGGAGACUGGAAUUCCUGGUGUAGCGGUGAAAUGCGCAGAUAUCAGGAGGAACACCGGUGGCGAAGGCGGGUCUCUGGGCCGAUACUGACGCUGAGGAGCGAAAGCGUGGGGAGCGAACAGG
rnacentral:rRNA from 1 species